GCAGCGAAGACGACAAACAAAGAAGCGGACAGCGGCUCCAAAAGUCCAGAGUCUGAGAAGGAGAACAAGCCAGCUAAAAUGAAACCUGUCAAAGCUCCACCAAAGCCCAUGUCCGAGGAGUGGUUUUUGAAGAGGUCAAUUCUGUUGAUUUGGAGGAGGAAGGAACCGUUUCCAAAAGCAAAAAGAAAGUAUCACAAAGCAGUAAUUCCAUGAGUGCCAAUAAGAAAUCCUCAAA